GAGUUUGAUCAUGGCUCAGAUUGAACGCUGGCGGCAGGCCUAACACAUGCAAGUCGAACGGUAACAGGAAGCAGCUUGCUGCUUUGCUGACGAGUGGCGGACGGGUGAGUAAUGUCUGGGAAACUGCCUGAUGGAGGGGGAUAACUACUGGAAACGGUGGCUAAUACCGCAUAACGUCGCAAGACCAAAGAGGGGGACCUUCGGGCCUCUUGCCAUCAGAUGUGCCCAGAUGGGAUUAGCUUGUUGGUGAGGUAACGGCUCACCAAGGCGACGAUCCCUAGCUGGUCUGAGAGGAUGACCAGCCACACUGGAACUGAGACACGGUCCAGACUCCUACGGGAGGCAGCAGUGGGGAAUAUUGCACAAUGGGCGCAAGCCUGAUGCAGCCAUGCCGCGUGUAUGAAGAAGGCCUUCGGGUUGUAAAGUACUUUCAGCGGGGAGGAAGGUGUUGUGGUUAAUAACCGCAGCAAUUGACGUUACCCGCAGAAGAAGCACCGGCUAACUCCGUGCCAGCAGCCGCGGUAAUACGGAGGGUGCAAGCGUUAAUCGGAAUUACUGGGCGUAAAGCGCACGCAGGCGGUCUGUCAAGUCGGAUGUGAAAUCCCCGGGCUCAACCUGGGAACUGCAUUCGAAACUGGCAGGCUUGAGUCUUGUAGAGGGGGGUAGAAUUCCAGGUGUAGCGGUGAAAUGCGUAGAGAUCUGGAGGAAUACCGGUGGCGAAGGCGGCCCCCUGGACAAAGACUGACGCUCAGGUGCGAAAGCGUGGGGAGCAAACAGGAUUAGAUACCCUGGUAGUCCACGCCGUAAACGAUGUCUACUUGGAGGUUGUGCCCUUGAGGCGUGGCUUCCGGAGCUAACGCGUUAAGUAGACCGCCUGGGGAGUACGGCCGCAAGGUUAAAACUCAAAUGAAUUGACGGGGGCCCGCACAAGCGGUGGAGCAUGUGGUUUAAUUCGAUGCAACGCGAAGAACCUUACCUGGUCUUGACAUCCACAGAACUUUCCAGAGAUGGAUUGGUGCCUUCGGGAACUGUGAGACAGGUGCUGCAUGGCUGUCGUCAGCUCGUGUUGUGAAAUGUUGGGUUAAGUCCCGCAACGAGCGCAACCCUUAUCCUUUGUUGCCAGCGGUCCGGCCGGGAACUCAAAGGAGACUGCCAGUGAUAAACUGGAGGAAGGUGGGGAUGACGUCAAGUCAUCAUGGCCCUUACGACCAGGGCUACACACGUGCUACAAUGGCGCAUACAAAGAGAAGCGACCUCGCGAGAGCAAGCGGACCUCAUAAAGUGCGUCGUAGUCCGGAUUGGAGUCUGCAACUCGACUCCAUGAAGUCGGAAUCGCUAGUAAUCGUGGAUCAGAAUGCCACGGUGAAUACGUUCCCGGGCCUUGUACACACCGCCCGUCACACCAUGGGAGUGGGUUGCAAAAGAAGUAGGUAGCUUAACCUUCGGGAGGGCGCUUACCACUUUGUGAUUCAUGACUGGGGUGAAGUCGUAACAAGGUAACCGUAGGGGAACCUGCGGUUGGA
rnacentral:rRNA from 2 species